GACGAACGCUGGCGGCGUGCUUAACACAUGCAAGUCGAACGCUGAAGCUCAGCUUUUGUUGGGUGGAUGAGUGGCGAACGGGUGAGUAACACGUGAGUAACCUGCCCCCUUCUUUGGGAUAACGCCCGGAAACGGGUGCUAAUACUGGAUAUUCACUGGUCUUCGCAUGGGGGUUGGUGGAAAGGGUUUUUCUGGUGGGGGAUGGGCUCGCGGCCUAUCAGCUUGUUGGUGGGGUGAUGGCCUACCAAGGCUUUGACGGGUAGCCGGCCUGAGAGGGUGACCGGUCACAUUGGGACUGAGAUACGGCCCAGACCCCGACGGGAGGCAGCAGUGGGGAAUAUUGCACAAUGGGCGCAAGCCUGAUGCAGCGACGCCGCGUGAGGGAUGGAGGCCUUCGGGUUGUGAACCUCUUUCGCUCAUGGUCAAGCCGCAACAAUGGUUGUGGUGAGGGUAGUGGGUAAAGAAGCGCCGGCUAACUACGUG
rnacentral:rRNA from 1 species